rnacentral:rRNA from 1 species
UACGUAGGGGGCAAGCGUUGUCCGGAUUUAUUGGGCGUAAAGAGCUCGUAGGCGGCUUGUCGCGUCGAAUGUGAAAACUCGGGGCUCAACUCCGAGCUUGCAUUCGAUACGGGCAGGCUAGAGUUCGGUAGGGGAGACUGGAAUUCCUGGUGUAGCGGUGAAAUGCGCAGAUAUCAGGAGGAACACCGGUGGCGAAGGCGGGUCUCUGGGCAGUAACUGACGCUGAGGAGCGAAAGCGUGGGGAGCGAACAGG